GAUUGGAGUUAUUUCAGAAGGACAAAGUCGAUCAAUGUGCUAAAAUCCGUAAAUUAAGGUUAGAGCGAGAGCUAAAACGAUAAACGCGUUUGUUUUUUACGUUGGCGUUGCAAGGUGCAUAAUAUGUUAUUUCGCUUGUCAAAAAGUGAACUUUUAGAACGUAAACAACGAUGGAUUACAAAAUGUUUUAGAAAAAACAAAAACUAACCUCGUUGGACAUUGUUUAUCUGGUGAGAUAGGACAAUCUUUGUUUCAAAUUCGCAGUUGAAUAACAUGUUUUGAAACAAAUUUCCCGGUCAAAAAUAUUCCACAUGGUUUAUCCAGUCCUGCAAUUAUUUCUAAAGCGGACAUUUCACACUCACAGGCUGAGGCUACUGAUCACUGGCCUCACACUUUAUUGAAAAUAUCACGCACCCGAUGAGUCAAAGCUGUUAUAUCGUGG
rnacentral:lncRNA from 1 species